AAUGGUAUGGCACAGUGGUUUGAGUGUUGUACUAGGACUCUGGAGACCAGGGUUUGAAUCCCUGUUGAAGUG